rnacentral:rRNA from 1 species
UACGGAGGGGGUUAGCGUUGUUCGGAAUGACUGGGCGUAAAGCGCGCGUAGGCGGAUCAGGAAGUUGGGGGUGAAAUCCCGGGGCUCAACCCCGGAACUGCCUUUGAUACUGGGUGUCUAGAGUGUGGAAGAGGUGAGUGGAAUUCCGAGUGUAGAGGUGAAAUUCGUAGAUAUUCGGAGGAACACCAGUGGCGAAGGCGGCUCACUGGUCCACUACUGACGCUGAGGUGCGAAAGCGUGGGGAGCAAACAGG